rnacentral:lncRNA from 1 species
AAAAGAGGAGAAAGGGAGAGGGGAGGAAGAGAGGAGGGGAGAGUAGAAAAAGAACAAUGGCUUCUUUCUCCUCAAAGUAAAAACAGCUCUAGAGUAUUUUUUGAGAGAGAGAGGGGGCUAGAGUACUCUUUAGAUAUUUCCUAGCUACCAUGAUUUAUGGAACCCAGAUUUUCAACCUUGGAUUAAAUGACUUUUUCUUAUAUAUUAAACAUUGUUGUUAUUGGAUUUUAAUCUUGAUCCCUUAUGCUAGGUAUAUUAUUAUGAACAUAUACGUAUAAUAAACCUACAACAACGUACAUAGUUGUAAAUACAUUCAUUAUAUAUGUCUAGCCUCUUGAUUCACCUUCGCACACAUGUUAAUAGGCUUUUUCAUUGUUUAAUUUUUUUAAAUCUUUUUCUAUAGAGAAAUUUUUUUGGACAUUAACUCUAUUUUUUUUUUAUUAAAUUAUUUGCAUUUGAAUAGACUAUUAUUUUACGUAUUUAUCCCUUUAAAAUGAAGUAGUUGCGUUUUGAAAUACUUUUUUUUUUCUUUAACAAGAGCAAUUUUGAAUUAUUUGGAAAUCUAAUCUUAUGUGCUUGACGUUUGCUGAGUGUUUAUUAAUGAUGUAUAUAAACAAGUAUAUCUCAUCAUCAAAUCAUAAGAUUGCAACCACCACGUACGCUUUAACGUAAGAGCCAGAUUUCAAACUUGUACACGUGGUAUGGACCACCAGCAUAAUUGGGUAUGUCCGUAGCCCGAGCUAAAGCCUAAAAUGCAGGGCACCCACAAGAACAAAGCAACAGAAAUUUGGACUGACGGUAAGACAUAGGUAGCCUUAUUUGAUUUGAUCAACCUCUCCUCCCUCGUGAAAGAGAAUAUUACCAAGAAAUAGAGCAUUCACUAUUGAAAGAGUAUAUCUCAACAAAAUUUGUUGCCAGUAAAUUCUGGACAAUGCACAUGCAGUGAUGUCCCGAUAAUCAUUGAGGGUGGUGGCUUGCAUUUAAGUUUGAAUUUCUCUUCAGGCUUGUGUACGAUCAUCUACUC